GUAGUCAUGGCCGGGUGGUUAAGGCGUUGGACUAGAAAUCCACUGGGAUCUUCCCGCGCAGGUUCGAAUCUUACCGACUACG